GAUGAACGCUGGCGGUGUGCCUAAUACAUGCAAGUCGUACGCAUUCUCGUUUCUGAUUGACGGUGCUUGCACCUAAUUGACGAGACAUUGGAAUGAGUGGCGGACGGGUGAGUAACACGUGGGUAACCUGCCCAGAAGUGGGGGAUAACAUUUGGAAACAGAUGCUAAUACCGCAUAAAAGUCAAAACCACAUGGUUUUGAUUUAAAAGAUGGCAUUUGUGCUAUCACUUCUGGAUGGACCCGCGGCGUAUUAGCUAGUUGGUAAGGUAACGGCUUACCAAGGCAAUGAUACGUAGCCGAACUGAGAGGUUGAUCGGCCACAAUGGGACUGAGACACGGCCCAUACUCCUACGGGAGGCAGCAGUAGGGAAUCUUCCACAAUGGGCGCAAGCCUGAUGGAGCAACACCGCGUGAGUGAAGAAGGGUUUCGGCUCGUAAAGCUCUGUUGUUAAAGAAGAACGUAUCUAAGAGUAACUGCUUAGGUAGUGACGGUAUUUAACCAGAAAGCCACGGCUAACUACGUGCCAGCAGCCGCCGUAA
rnacentral:rRNA from 1 species